rnacentral:rRNA from 1 species
GAUGAACGUUGGCGGCGUGGAUUAGGCAUGCAAGUCGAGCGAGAAGAGUUUGGUAGCUUGCUAUUAAACUCGGAAAGCGGCGAAAGGGAGAGUAACGCGUAGUUAUGUACCCAGGGGUUCGGAAUAGCCACGGAAACUGUGGGUAAUGCCGAAUAACAUCUCCGGAUCAAAGGUGUGAUUCCGCCCUUGGAGCAGACUGCGUCCUACUAGCUAGUUGGCGGGGUAAUGGCCCACCAGGGCAACAAUGGGUAGCGGAUGUGAGAGCAUGACCCGUCUCACUGGGACUGAGACACUGCCCAGACACCUACGGGUGGCUGCAGUCGAGAAUCUUCGGCAAUGGGCGAAAGCCUGACCGAGCGACGCCGCGUGCGGGAUGAAGGCCCUCGGGUUGUAAACCGCUGUCGUAGGGGAGGAAGGCUCCGUGAAGAACGGGGUUUGACCUAUCCUAGGAGGAAGUACGGGCUAAGUUCGUGCCAGCCGCCGCCGUAA